rnacentral:rRNA from 1 species
GCAAGUCGAGCGGACAGAAGGGAGCUUGCUCCCGGAUGUUAGCGGCGGACGGGUGAGUAACACGUGGGUAACCUGCCUGUAAGACUGGGAUAACUCCGGGAAACCGGAGCUAAUACCGGAUAGUUCCUUGAACCGCAUGGUUCAAGGAUGAAAGACGGUUUCGGCUGUCACUUACAGAUGGACCCGCGGCGCAUUAGCUAGUUGGUGGGGUAAUGGCUCACCAAGGCGACGAUGCGUAGCCGACCUGAGAGGGUGAUCGGCCACACUGGGACUGAGACACGGCCCAGACUCCUACGGGAGGCAGCAGUAGGGAAUCUUCCGCAAUGGACGAAAGUCUGACGGAGCAACGCCGCGUGAGUGAUGAAGGUUUUCGGAUCGUAAAGCUCUGUUGUUAGGGAAGAACAAGUGCGAGAGUAACUGCUCGCACCUUGACGGUACCUAACCAGAAAGCCACGGCUAACUACGUGCCAGCAGCCGCGGUAAUACGUAGGUGGCAAGCGUUGUCCGGAAUUAUUGGGCGUAAAGGGCUCGCAGGCGGUUUCUUAAGUCUGAUGUGAAAGCCCCCGGCUCAACCGGGGAGGGUCAUUGGAAACUGGGAAACUUGAGUGCAGAAGAGGAGAGUGGAAUUCCACGUGUAGCGGUGAAAUGCGUAGAGAUGUGGAGGAACACCAGUGGCGAAGGCGACUCUCUGGUCUGUAA